GCCUUUAGGCCUUUGGGCUCUUCCUUCCCUUCCUCUUACAGAAAAAGCGCACCUUUCCCUGAGAUCGCACCAGUCGCUAAAGAGCAGGAAGGCAGGAGGCAAUGAAGGCAAUUUAUCCUGUCUGGUGAAAGGAAAGGUGUCACCAAAAAGAACUCGUUUGUAUCUAAAGUGUGGGACCAGGCAGAGGCACUGGCUGCGGGAGGAUGUCCUGGGCCGUGGGGGCUGCGUUGCGCUCGCCCUGUUGUGGUGAAACGUCAGCGAACUGCUCAGUGCCUCCGCCCGCCGGUCCCCUCCGGCUGUGCGCACCGCUGUCGCCUUGCUGGUCCGGGGGCGGCCUGAGGUGCACGAGGGCCUGCUACGCCCCCCAGAGGUCCUGGUCCCUCUCAGAGACCCCGUCGCGGAGCAGCCAAGUCCUUCCUCUCCUGGGGGCCGCAAAGCCACAUCAAGUGGCAGUGGGGCGGGGGCUCCCCCUCCCUUCCACCUGCACUUCCUGGCCCCCCCCAGAGGGACUCCACCCCCGUGUGGCCGGGGCAAGACAGAGGCCUCGGAGAUAAGUAAGGCCGAGGGGACCUCCUUCCGGAGAACCUACCGGAGGCACAGAGUUUGUAGUCAGGACCCUGUCUGCCCGGGCUCUCCUGACGCUGAGGGGUGUGAAGAGAAGGCCGCCCCGCCCCUCACUUUACAGAGGCCCAGGGGACCUGCCGCGGCGAGGUAGCAGGUGGUGGAGACAGGCGGGGGAUCCCAGACCCUCCGGUGCCCCAAGCCCCCCAGGGAUGCUCUGCCCGGGGGGCGGGCUGUGCCUCCUUCCUUCCGAGGGGCCCAGAGAACAGCAUUUGUGCGGCUGAAUGUCCCGAACCUGAGACGAGAGGGGGCGAAGAGCUCGAGAAGGAGCGGAGCGCGUCCCAGGCCAGCCCUGCACACCUGCUGGAGAGAGGCAGGGGCAGACCUCCCCCAGCCCCCCACGGCACACGGGCGCGCCUCCUGUCUCCCUCCUUUCCCUCUGAUGUUCAUCGUCACCUCCCCCCUCAGCUCUGGUCCCCGCGCUCUCCCCCUGGGGCGCCAGGGACUGCUGCUCCCACGAGGGUGGCUCAGACCUGCCGGCGGCAGCUGCCGGCGAUGUUGGCCUGUUGGCAUGAGGGUCUCUUGGCCGAGCAGACGGAGCUGUGUCCUUGAAGCCUCGAUUCCCUGCAGACUGGAGACAGCCUUGCUCCCAGGGGCUCCCAAUCCCCUUUGUCCAGAGUGAACGGAAGGGCUUCAGUUUCUUUGCACCUUACCAGAUGGCUGCCCGGGGUAACUGGUGCCAGGCAGGGGCCAAGGACAGGGACGUUUCGUACGCAGCAAACCAAUGCCAUUCAGCGAAGUUCUACACAAAUGACGGUCUCAUGUGCUCGGCUGAUCUGGAGGUCUCCCUUCCCUACAUUUACUUUCCCACUUUCUGAGUCAAACUUGACAAGCUUCUUGGAUAAGGCGUGGUACAUUAUUCAUCAGAGCUGGUCGGAGGAAGGAAAUUUAAGUUAGCCACUGUCCUGAGAAAUUCUACUUAUAGUACAAAGUUUGUGGUCUAAGUGGUGAUGAGGUCUGUUCACAAAUAAACCAUGAAUAUGAAGGGCAUUUUGCAGUGGUUUUAUGUUCAUUUUGCUUUUCCGAGCCUCCUUUCCAGCACAGCUGCACGUUC